UUGGCGGUUAUAUUAUCUUAAAGAAACUUGUUUUAUAAUCGACAAUACCCGAUAACUUUUACUUAAUAUAAACAUAUUUAUAUACCGUCGUUUUUAGAAAAUUUUAAAAUUAAAUCUCAUAAUCAACAACCUAUAAAAAUCAGAUCAAGGUGUAAUUAAUUUAUAAGAAAAAAUAAGUUACAAUUAAACAUAAUUUAAGGAAUUUGUUUAAAACAGACAAAAGAAAAAGAAUUUAUAAUUAAUUUUGAAUCAAAAUUUCAAAUAGAAAACAAAAUUUAUAAUGC
rnacentral:rRNA from 1 species